rnacentral:rRNA from 1 species
UACGUAGGGGGCAAGCGUUGUCCGGAAUCAUUGGGCGUAAAGCGCGUGUAGGCGGCCCGGUAAGUCCGCUGUGAAAGUCCAGGGCUCAACCCUGGAAUGCCGGUGGAUACUGUCGGGCUCGAGUCCGGAAGAGGCGAGUGGAAUUCCUGGUGUAGCGGUGGAAAUGCGCAGAUAUCAGGAGGAACACCCGUAGCGAAGGCGGCACUCUGGGCCGGUACUGACGCUGAGGA